rnacentral:misc_RNA from 1 species
AUAUAUAUAUAUCAACCUUCACUUGUUGAAUGGUUUGGAUGUGGGGGUUUGCUGGACUCUUGAAGGGUUCAGCUCCUCUGAAAUGCAUUAGCAGAACAAAUCUGUUCAUUGGUGUGAUAACUAUCUACGCUCUUGAAUAAGAUGCAGUUCAGCUUUCUAACUGUCCUUGGACAAUUUAUCAUUU